CUUAUCUCGUUUCCUCUCGCCUCCUCAUCUUUGCUAUGUGUGAGAGCAGCGGCGAGAUCGGCGGGAGUGGGGAUGUUCUCUGGUUCACGAUCGAUGGUCGCAGAUGGCGGAAGCUAGGGUGGAUAUUGCACACCAUAUGUUCCCAGAGGGGAGA